rnacentral:misc_RNA from 1 species
GUAGGUGAACCUGCGGAAGGAUCAUUAUACACGAUUCAAAUCGUAUAAACCUUUCGAGCACUCGUUUCGUUUUUAUAAGUAAGCCAGUAAGCUGCAGAGGUCGAGAGUUGAGACAGUGUAGCACGCUUUCGGGUGUGCUUGCUCUCUUCCCCGCCUUGCCUCUUCGGAGCGCGAGGGAGCUUCGGUUUACUACACUGUUGCGUCUCGCCGCAAGGCAGGCGCUGUUUUUACUCUAUUUACCCUUUGUAUC